rnacentral:rRNA from 1 species
CACCUCUAGCAUUACUAGUAUUAGAGGCACUGCCUGCCCAGUGACAUCUGUUUAACGGCCGCGGUACCCUGACCGUGCAAAGGUAGCAUAAUCUCUUGUUCUUUAAAUAGGGACUUGUAUGAAUGGCAACGCGAGGGUCUAACUGUCUCUUACUUUCAACCAGUGAAAUUGACCUGCCCGUGAAGAGGCGGGCAUAUAACAAUAAGACGAGAAGACCCUGUGGAGCUUCAAUCUACUAAUGUAACCAAGAUUAAUACAAACCCACGGGCCUAAUAUAAUCCACCCCUGCAUUAGAAAUUUUGGUUGGGGUGACCUCGGAGCAUAAUUAAACCUCCGAAUUAAAUCACGCCAAGACUACACAAGUCAAAGCAACUUAACAUUUAUAAUUGAUCCAAUAACUUGACCAACGGAACAAGUUACCCCAGGGAUAACAGCGCAAUCCUAUUCCAGAGUCCAUAUCGACAAUAGGGUUUACGACCUCGAUGUUGGAUCAGGACAUCCUAAUGGUGCAGCAGCUAUCAAGGGUUCGUUUGUUCAACGAUUAAUAGUCCU